GACGAACGCUGGCGGCGUGCUUAACACAUGCAAGUCGAACGGAAAGUUCCUGCUUGCAGGGUACUCGAGUGGCGAACGUGUGAGUAACACGCGGGUGGUCGGCCCUGCACUUCGGGAUAUGCUUCGUAAACUGGGUUUACUACCGGAUAGGAGUGAUCUUACGUGUGGAGGUUGGAAAGUUUCUUCGGUGUAGGAUGAGCGCGCGGCCUAUCUGCUUUUUGGUGGGGUAAUGGCUUACCAAUGCGGAGAUAGGUAGCCGGCAGGCGAGGGUGUACGGCCACCUGGGAAAUUGGGUACGGGACAGAGUCCAGAGGGCGGCAGCAGGGAGGAAUAUUGCACAAUGCACGAUAGACUGAUGCAGGGAGGCGGGGUGGGGGGUGAAUGCCUUAGUGGUGUAAACUCCAUUGGCUAGGGACGAGGGAUUGUUGUGACGGUACCUAGAUAAGAAGCACCGGCUAACUACGUG
rnacentral:rRNA from 1 species